rnacentral:sRNA from 1 species
UUAAGAAUCCUGGAGACUGACGUCUGCCAUUCAUCCACAGAAAAGGCAGUGGCAAUGCAAGCUUCUCCACAUUGCCCUGCCAAUGUACGUCAGCACUGUUCUGAAGGGACCACUUGUAGGGGGGAGAGAGAAGUUCAAGUCUCCGUGCCUGAAUCAAGCUAUUGCAUGG